UUUAUACAUUUACUUUACUUUAUUCGAGAGUUGGAGAAUAGAUUAGAGAGAUAAGAGGGACACUCCGGUAAGCUUACGGCUUCCGUGCAGUGCGAGCGAGCGAACGAGAAGUUGUAGUUAUUGAUUUCAAUUUCCAAGUCCCAACCAUAAACAAACAGACAAAUCCAUUUCCUCAACAAAGAAACACACACCAAACCGCGCGAAUCAAAAGAUGGCGGAUCCGAUCCCGGCGCCACCAAGAUCCGCCACGGACCUCUUCUCGGAUCCUCUCGACGCCCACCCGCUGUGGUUCAAACCGGCGUCGUUUCUCUCCCCCGACUUCGACUCCGAAUCCUACAUCUCGGAGCUCCGAACCUUCGUCCCCUUCGACACGCUCCGCUCCGAGCUAAACAGCUACCUAUCCUCCCUCAACCACGAGCUCAUCGACCUCAUCAACCGCGACUACGCCGACUUCGUCAACCUCAGCACCAAGCUCGUCGACGUCGACGCCGUCGUCGUCCGAAUGCGGGCCCCGCUCGUCGAGCUCCGCGACAAGAUCGAGCAGUUCAGAGGAUCCGUCGAGGUCUCGCUUGUCGCCAUCAAGAAUCGCUUGAGGCAGAGAUCUGAGGUGGCCUCCGCUAGAGAGACUUUAGAGCUUCUUCUUGAUGCGUUUCACGUCGUUUCUAAGGUUGAGAAGCUAAUAAAAGAGCUGCCCAGUGUACCCACCGAUUGGUCAAAUGGAGAUGUAAAUUUGUCAGAGAGGAAUAACUUAAGCAAUGGAGUUUCUGCGCAGCAUGUUGAGAAUGAAAUGAUUAUCAGAGAGACUCAAAGCAUGCUGCUGGAAAGAAUUGCCAGUGAGAUGAACCGACUAAAGUUCUAUGUGACACAUGCAAAGAACCUUCCUUUUAUUGAGAAUAUGGAGAAGAGGAUUCAAAAUGCAAGUGUAACAGUAGAUGCAAGCUUGGGACAUUGCUUUGUAAAUGGUUUGGAGCACCGAGAUGCAACUGCAAUUUUCAAUUGCUUACGUGCAUAUGCUGCUAUAGAUAACACUAAGAGUGCAGAAGAAAUUUUUCGAGUUACUGUUGUGGCUCCAUUGAUACAGAAGAUUAUCCCACAUGGAUCAUCAGCUGUGGUUGCUGGAUCAUUUGGGGAUGGUCUAGAAAAUGAUUAUCAACUAAUUAAGGAGUUCAUUGAUAAAGACUGUAAAUUUUUAUUGGAAAUUUCUUCAGCUGAAAAUUCAGGUUUGCAUGUCUUUGACUUCUUAGCCAAUUCAAUCCUUAAGGAGGUUCUCUCUGCAAUUCAGAAGGGAAAGCCAGGUGCAUUUUCUCCCGGAAGGCCAACAGAGUUCUUGAAAAAUUACAAAUCAAGCUUAGAUUUCUUGGCUUUUCUAGAAGGCUACUGUCCAUCCAGAUCUGCUGUUGCUAAAUUUCGAUCUGAAGCAAUUUAUACAGAAUUCAUGAAGCAAUGGAACAUUGGAGUAUAUUUCUCUUUGAGGUUUCAGGAAAUAGCAGGGUCACUAGAUUCUGUGCUUACAACAUCCAGUCUUGUCCCUGUUCAAAAUUCAGAUGCUGGCGAAGCAAAUUAUCAAGGUUUAACAUUAAAGCAAAGUGUUACUUUGUUGGAGAGUUUGAGAUCAUGCUGGAGAGAAGAUGUUCUUGUCCUUUCUUGUUCUGACAGAUUCCUUCGGCUAUCCUUGCAGCUUCUUUCUAGAUACUCAAGUUGGCUGUCUUCUGGACUGACUGCUCGCAAAAACCAUAACACAAGCACUAGCCCUGGGUGUGAAUGGGCCGUUUCAGCUGUCAUAGAUGACUUUAUUUUUGUUAUUCAUGAUAUAAGAUAUUUGGAGGAGCAGGUUCAUGGUGAUUACCUUCAACAUGUGCUUCAGCUUUUGUCUUCAUGCUCCCCUGAUGUUCUGGAAUCAAUAAGGCAGAGCAUUUUACUGAGUGGUCAAUCAUUAAAAUCUGUAGAACCGUUAGUCAUUAAAGCAGUGGUGGAGUCACUAGUUGAAAAGUCAGUUGAGGACUUAAGACAAAUGAAGGGGAUAACAGCAACCUAUAGGAUGACUAAUAAACCUCUACCUGUGAGGCAUUCACCAUAUAUUUCAGGGGUAUUACGUCCCCUUAAGCUAAAACUAAAAACAUCAACGUAUAUUGGCGGCAUGCCUAUGCAUCUCAGGCUUUUUUGGGUGGGGAGAGAGCUACAAGAUAUUUGGUCAGUGAAACUAGGAAUGAAAUACUCCUCUGUGCUGCAACUGAGAUUACUGACCGUUAUUAUGAAUUAGCUGCUGACCUUGUUAGCGUGGCAAGAAAGACAGAGUCUUCACUCCAGAAAAUUAGGCAGAGUGCACAAAGACGAGCUGGAGCCAGUUCAGAUAUCUUAGAUAAUAAUGUGUCUGAUACUGAUAAAAUCUGUAUGCAGUUGUUUCUUGAUAUUCAGGAGUAUGCCCGGAACCUCUCUGCACUGGGGGUUGAAGCAGCCAAUAUUGCAUCCUACCGUUCAUUAUGGCAAUGUGUGGCUCCUGCAGAUAGGCAAAACACAAUUAAUCUCUAAGAGUUUGCUCCUAUGGAGUUAAAGCGGCUUGUAGAUUGUUUUCCUCUGGGUCUAGAGUUUCCUUUUGUAACUUAAUUUUGAAAUCCAUUAUAUAGCUUUACACAAUAAUCACAGGUUAUCAUGGUUCUUAAAAGGGAAGAAAAAAAUUAUUUUGCUCGUAACUGUUAUCUUUAAGGUUCUCUGUAGUUACUACGAUAGCAGAUGUGAUAUUCUUUGUGGCAUUGUGUUUCUUAUCAUCAUUCUUUUAAAUUGCUUUUUCAAA